rnacentral:rRNA from 1 species
GACGAACGCUGGCGGCGUGCUUAACACAUGCAAGUCGAGCGGAAAGGCCCUUCGGGGUACUCGAGCGGCGAACGGGUGAGUAACACGUGAGUAAUCUGCCCUUGGCUUUGGGAUAACUACCGGAAACGGUGGCUAAUACCGGAUACGACAACCGUCUGCAUGGGCUGGUUGUGGAAAGUUUUUUCGGCCAGGGAUGUGCUCGCGGCCUAUCAGCUUGUUGGUGGGGUAAUGGCCUACCAAGGCUUCGACGGGUAGCCGGCCUGAGAGGGUGACCGGCCACACUGGGACUGAGACACGGCCCAGACUCCUACGGGGGGCAGCAGUGGGGAAUAUUGGACAAUGGGCGGAAGCCUGAUCCAGCAACGCCGCGUGAGGGAUGACGGCCUUCGGGUUGUAAACCUCUUUCAGUACCGACGAAGCGCCGAUGAUGGUGGUGACGGUAGGUACAGAAGAAGCACCGGCCAACUACGUG